UUCGAUUAUCUGAUUAUCGUGUAAAUACAAUAUAAGUUAUACUACAAAGUAGCAGUAAUGAGAAUAAGAGAAGGGUUACAAUAAUAAAUGAAAAAAAUACAAUAAAAUGCUUGGAACCUUCAAGUAUGAAGUAACCCGUUAAAAACAAAUUUUUUUAAAUUGUCCUGUUUAGGUUACAACACCAAAUGUGAAAAAAAGAAACUUGUUUACAAUAGUCAUAUUUGAGUCUUUGACAAAUUAACAAUUCAAAUACCAAUGUGAACCCUUUUUUGAUGAAAUACCAAUAAGCUCCUAUUAAAUAAAAUAAAAUCUUAUAAAGAACUAGACAAAUGAGACACGUAAGACCAAGAGAUCCUAGCAAAUAGACUGUAUUUCUCACUAACUAGUAAUUACCAAAAGAAUAUUUACAAAUGUAUUACACUAACUAGCAAACUACCAUAUAUACACUACAAAGGUUAUAAGUUAAUUAGUGUAAUCCUCACACUCGUAUAUACACUACAAAACUAAUUAGACACCAUAGUAUGAUAUGUAUAAUGUACAAAGCUUAUACUAUUACUUCAAAACAUCCAUUACCCGAAAAAUUAGGGGGAGAGAGAGAGAGUAAACUAAGGCUAAGCCUAAGGGCAGCUGCAAGUUGAGACAAAAACUGAUUGGGAUCAACACAUGAUUGUUGUAAAGAAAAGAAAUGCUUUGAAUACCUGAAAGAAAAACUUUAGCAUAGGUUACUUGAGUGGGGUGCACAAAUGGCUUGCAUAUGGUAACAAAUGACAGUACCACAAAUUUGAGAACCCCAUCAUGACUAGAGCACCUGAAGUCCUGAACAAAGGCCUCUGGCCCUAUCAAAUAAUCAGAAAGAUCUACUAAUUUCUCUACUCUUAAAUUUCCAUGUCCAAUCACCAUCAUUUAGUAAAGGAACCAGCAUUUUAAGAAUUUCACUAAAACGUAUAUUAUUCUUUUAUACAUCCAAUCUCUAAUCUCUACUUUGAUUUUUUAUGUAACAAAAAGCACCGACGUGUGGUCGACACAUGUGGUUAAAGUGGUGUGGAGCCAUGCACUUGGGGGAAGGGAGGGGGGGGGGGGGGGGCGGAGUUGGUGUACCCAACACCCCCACGCGGGCUUGUAACCUAGGGCCCAGCAAGGGAAGAUCAUCGUGCACCCUGCACUUUCCCAGUCUGCCCAACCUCUAUUCACAUUUAGUAAAAAAAAAAUUGUAUUUGAUUCUAAAAAGGGGCAAAGUCAGAUGUUAAAUCCAGCACCCCCCGUGGAAUACCCUGACCGUUGGUUUAGGACACUGUCUCUAUGUAUUGGAUUCUCCUGCCCAAUUUAACUCUUCCAAAGCCUCUUACAGCUAUUAUAUUUCUGUUUUUUUUGCAAAAUAAUAUGAAAUGAGUGCAACAUAGAGGUUACUUAGUAAAAAUGAUGGGAUACAAGCAUAUUUUCUGAAAGAUAGAUAAGAUAUGCUGACGGGGUAUUGUGCCUCAAGUGGGUAAUUGGUAUUUAAUCAUUUCUUUCACAUCAGCCAACUCCAUCUUUUUCUUUUCCUCCCUUUAUUAUUGGUAUUAUCUCUCUCUCUCUCUCUCUCUAGUGUGGGAGAAAGAUAGGAAGAAGAAAAAGAUAUCUUACGUCUCCAAAUCUUUCAUUUUUAAUUGGCAAAUGUGUUUGACUAAGUUACCAGAAAUUGUCUCUAUAGAAAUCCUGACAUAUAACUAGAAAUUAAUUACUUCUAGUGGAGUUCUCACUAUUAAAUUCACCUCCUUUUUGCACCAUAUUAGAUAUCAUACUAAUAUUUGGAUUUGGGGUAUUUGUAUUGGAGAUAUUUACCUGCAUCAAAAGGAACUUGUUUGGUGUUGGACCAUUUUCCAACCACUGUUUGCUCAUAUAAGCUGCUUGACAAUCCAUCAACCUACAUAGAAAACUUGAUACAUAAGCUAUCACAAUUAAGCCAAAUCAAGUGGCGUAAACAAUGUACUCUGUUAGAUUAUUUACUGGGCAUGCUACUAAAAUUCUCCACGGUUCAAAUAAAAUCAUUGUUAGGACGCCUACGACGCUUCUGCUCAAUAUGGACUAAAAAGAUGAACAUAAAACAAAUGAAAUGACAGGCAUCCUAUUAGAGUCUAUAGAUUAGUCUACCAAGAAAAGGCUUCGUCACUUGGUCAAAAAAAUAAAAAGAAACUUCGGCAAAGGUUGAUGAAUUUGUGGAGGAGAUUACAAUAAUGUUUAGAGGCAUCCUGAAAGAAACAUUAUCUCAUUCUCAAGAAAAAUCUAUAGACAUACUGAGACCAAAUCUAAAUCACAAACAUUAAGAAUUUGUGUAUAUACUUAUGUACAACAGAUAAAUGAAGCAGUGACUAGAAAAUAAAAAUAAAAAACAAAAUAAAAUAUACAAGGAUAGUAAAAGGGACAUCAUGUUGAUGGUAAUUACGGUAGGUUUGAGAACAAGAAUUGGGAGGUGUCCAAUCUUGUUAAUGAGGUCAAAGGGAGGCUUUGUAGCUGGAACAAAAUCUUCCAUGUGGUCGAUUCCAAUGUUCCUUUUACCUUGUGGUGCUCUAACGAGUACGCACCACUUGUAUGAUGUUUUUGGUACUCCUGGUACCGCCCAAGUUUUUUAAUAGAUUUUUAAUUGAUCAAAACAAAAAAAAAAAAAAAGGUAAUUACGGUGGACUAUCUAUCGAGAAAAUGGCACUAUCUAAGAUAUAAUAUACAAGUACAGUAGACAAAAAAGUGGGGCUGAUGUACGUAUUCAACCACAUUAAUCAUCUUCAGCCUCUUUAUCGCCAAUAUGGGGAAAUGACUUCCAUUGGCAAGGAAAAUGAAAUAUAGGAAGAGGCAACAAUAAAACAGGGAGCAAUAGAGACAAGAAAAGAAAGAGGAGUCAGAUUUCGUCUAAUGGUAUUGUUGACUACUGAGGCCACUCAACCCAAUAUCAGGAAAGCAAUUAACUCCAUAAGAAUUCUUCUACUUGAGGCAUUACACAUUUCCUUUUUCUAGUGGAUGAAUACAAUUUAAAGUACACCCAUACAUUAAUCACCUACCCAUUGUCCCAUCCCACCACAAACCGUACAUGAUUUUCCAAACUGCAUAAAAGUGUUGGUUGUGUGGCUAAAAUAGAACCUCAUAUCCUGCAAAAGUGAUCUAGAUCAGGGAGAUUCUCAAAUCAGCACUAAUUUGCUUAACCAAAUGGAAAAUACUCCGUGAACACUAAACCCUUGCAGCAUUAGACUCGGUAAGAAGCUCAUCAUGACUAUAAAAACAUCAAUUAAUGGACUUGCCACAUUAUCUUGGUAUAACAUAAAUCAUCUUGACUAAUUUUGAAGACUCUGAAAGAAUCAUCAACUUGCAAAUAUCUACCUAAUGUUUAAACCAUAAACUAAAACAUUUAAUAUGCCAAAAUAGUGAAAAUACUAAAUCUGUUCACAUCAUGAUUCCACAAUCCGACCUGGGAACACUUAAACCACCUCAACCACAUCAUGAUGUUACUCAGUUAACAGAGAAUGCUAAAAUUUCAUAUAUCUCAUACACAUACAUACGUGUUUGGGAGUAAAUGUAGUACAACAUAGUGGAAAGGUUUGCAGCAUAGCAGUUCAAGCCACAUUAGCAAAUGGAUCAUUCUGUUCACCCAAUUCUGCUAGAAUGACAAAAGCAGUUCUAUGCAAAAUUUAAAGGAUUAAAGAAUCAAUACAAUCUAGCUAAUAAUUAAUUAUAUUAUUUGUACUUAUACAGCUUUACAGCUUGCCAAUAUUAUAAAAUGCAGGAUUUUCUUCUCUAAAAUAUACAUGUGGUGCAAAGAAAUGCUAAAGAAUCAAACAAAUAACUAAUCAUACACUAUAUACUAUCCAGCUUUGUACCACAUCAAUAAUAAAUCAAAUGCAGUUUUCAGUGUCCAGAUGGCACACGAAAUAAGAAACGUGAUAUCAAGUAAUAAAUUUUGCGUCUAAAACAUUCCUUUCUACCAAAGUACACUGCUUAUGCUUCCUGCAAUGUGCUUCAGGUAAGGGUUUUCAUCUGAUAUAUUGAAAUUUGAUCAUGUAAAGAAUAUAUAAUAUCUUAAAUAUUAAAUAUGGUUCCAGAAAAGUGGUUGUUGAGUCACCAAUUUCUUUUAUGCAAGUUUUCCACUUUCAGAAAAGGGAUUGUGCUGCCUCAGUAUCCUCCUAUUCAUUUAUGUCCUUGAACAUUGCUGGCUUCAGACCAAUGUUUAGUUGAAAACUUCUAAUCUAGGCUGACAAUUAAAACCAUUUUUCUAAACUGACUUCACAUUCCAUUUCGUACUGGGCCAUUCUUUCCACAACAUUCCCCAAAUCAAUUAUUAUAAUCCCAAUUAUAAACUCCCCCACAUGUAAGCAUUUUUUUUCAUGAGAUUAUCCAAUUCUCAUCUAAAUAUUAAUUCAACUUGUAUAGAUUGCCUACAUAUGGUCCAUGGGUGUCAUGCAACAUACAACCGGUGUGUACAUGGACACAAUUAACCCUGAUGCAUAGACUAAUACAUCAUGUUACAUAGAUGAAUAUAUGAGAGCUUAUAAGGCCACUAACAGUUUGGUGUCAGCCCUGCAUUCUCAUUUUUUUGAGGAAUUCUACAGUACUCUAAUUUCAUAUGAUGGGGCCAAACUACCUUUUUGGCAUUCUAUAAAUCUACCCCUUCCCACUAGUUUCCUUCGCCUUCAACUACCAGCAAGACUUCUUUCUGAGAUCUCCCAUAAACUUGUUCCACAACCUCAUCUCAGAAAAUCCGCCCAGUUCCAUUGAAGCAAUGCAACCCAAUGAGAUUGCUGAGCUUCAUUUGUUAUUUCCUUCAAACUCAGCACAAUAUCCUCCCAAUUUUGGCUCAACCAGUAACUACCCACCAGCUUAUCAGUUUAGCAGGUUCCCCAACCCUUUAUAUAACCUCCAUGCCACACCCCAACUUCAAGAAUUCAAUCCUCAGACAACAUGUUUCAGCAGUAAUUCGACGUCUGAUGAAGCAGAUGAGCAACAACUAAGCAUAAUAAACGAGAGGAAGCAAAGAAGAAUGAUUUCAAACAGAGAAUCUGCAAGACGAUCACGCAUGCGCAAACAGAAACACUUGGAUGAGCUUUGGUCACAAGUAGUCUGGCUCCGUAACGAGAAUCACCAGCUCGUAGACAAACUGAACCAUGUAUCAGAGCGUCAUGACCAAGUACUCCAGGAAAAUACUCAACUCAAAGAAGAAGCUUCAGAGCUUCGUCAAAUGCUUACUGACAUGCAGCUGAACAGUCCUUAUCCUAGCUUACGAGAGCUUGAUGACGAUCCCAGCAGUGAAUUGGCUUAAGCAUGAAUAAGUACUCAACUUUCUUCUUGCGUUUCCUGUUUUGUUGCUGAGAGAGAUGCUAUUAUUUCGUCUUAUCUUAAUCCCUUUAACCCAUUGGCGUUGUCUCGAUCAAUAUGAAACAAAAUCCAGUUAUUAUUCGUAUCGUAUGAGAUAACAGCUAUGCUGCAAUAAAAUCUAAUUUAAUAAAUCCAAUGAUAUUGUCAAAAGGCUAAAUUUAUUUUUAAGUCCUGGGAUUAGAUUCCUCCACAACACAGACGCCAAAAUUUCUGAACUGCGACCACUUAGUAAAUGUCUACUGACAGACGCAGGCACUACUAAAAAGCACGAACUGCAACAAGAAUCAGUCUCUGAAUCCGAACAAGCAACUGCCCCGACACAAUUUCAGAUACCCAAUUCAGACACUUCCAAACAUAGCAACCAAUACCUAAAUAUAGAAAAACUAAAUACAAAGACAUGAUGCACAAACAAGAGAGUAAAAAAAGUAAAAUAGAGACAAUUUCCUCAGAGUGUCAUGCACUAUUUCCACAAGCUACACUAUGGAAAAUGAAUGACCAAACAGAAACAUUUGCUGUUUUUCAAAUUCACCAAGCAGACAAUAAGGCAAAACAUCACAGAUGAUUCAGUUUUGGCUAAUAAAUAUGUUCGGUGUGGCACUUAGGGACCACUUGAAUUCCUCCAAGUCAUAUUCAGUUCGGCAUCUAGGGAACACACUGUGCAUUAAUCUCACCAUCUUCAAUUUUCAAAGCCACAUAUCAGCUUUAUCUACGAAUUCUUCUCUUCAAACAGUAUUGAUUUAUACUAACGAUGAAAAUAUAUUCUAUUUCGAAGACAAAUCAUGCGACAUUGCCAUAUAAGGUUUCCAUGAAGAAAAUGGCAAUUAAGGAAUAGAAAUUCACCGAGCAUUAGGGAUUUAAUCUGGAUAAUGAAAUUGCAACUCCGUAAUUUCACCUGCAAAUAAUUACAGCAGCUCAUAACUAAAACUGAUUUGCGAGAAUUACAGUUUCAAUUUAAAAAUAUUCAAAUUCCACUCACCUCCCUCAGCUAGGAGAGUUCCAGGGUUUGAAUUCGUUUCUACAGAUGUUUCAAACGCUUAAGCUGUUCUGUAGUUUUUAUUUUCUUUUAUUUUUUAUUUUCUUUUAUUUUUUAUUUUCAUUUCCCCAAAAUAUAUUGCGUGAUUGUAACUAAUUGUAACGAAUCAAGGGUUUCUUGAAGUAAAACUCAUUCUUUUAGUUAUACUCCUCAUUUCCA
rnacentral:lncRNA from 1 species